AUUGAACGCUGGCGGCAUGCUUUACACAUGCAAGUCGAACGGUAACAGGGAGCUUGCUCCUUGAUUCAGCGGCGGACGGGUGAGUAAUGCCUAGGAAUCUGCCUGGUUGUGGGGGACAACGUUUCGAAAGGAACGCUAAUACCGCAUACGUCCUACGGGAGAAAGCAGGGGACCUUCGGGCCUUGCGCUAUCAGAUGAGCCUAGGUCGGAUUAGCUAGUAGGUGAGGUAAUGGCUCACCUAGGCGACGAUCCGUAACUGGUCUGAGAGGAUGAUCAGUCACACUGGAACUGAGACACGGUCCAGACUCCUACGGGAGGCAGCAGUGGGGAAUAUUGGACAAUGGGCGAAAGCCUGAUUCAGCCAUGCCGCGUGUGUGAAGAAGGUCUUCGGAUUGUAAAGCACUUUAAGUUGGGAGGAAGGGCAGUAAGUUAAUACCUUGCUGUUUUGACGUUACCGACAGAAUAAGCACCGGCUAACUCUGUGCCAGCAGCCGCAGUAACAC
rnacentral:rRNA from 1 species